rnacentral:piRNA from 1 species
UUUCUUAUAGGAACGAGUUUU